rnacentral:rRNA from 1 species
UACAGAGGUCUCAACCGUUGUUCGGAUUCAUUGGGCGUAAAGGGUGCGUAGGCGGCCCUGCAAGUCGGAUGUGAAAUCUCAGGGCUCAACCCUGAAACUGCAUUCGAUACUGCGGGGCUAGAGUGCUGGAGAGGAGACUGGAAUUUACGGUGUAGCGGUGAAAUGCGUAGAUAUCGUAAGGAAGACCAGUGGCGAAGGCGAGUCUCUGGACAGCAACUGACGCUGAGGCACGAAGGCCAGGGGAGCAAACGGG